AUAGAUAUUUUACAGUGCAACUUAUUCUACAUUACAGUCAACAACUACCUACCUACUUGUUUGUUAAUUUCUAGAAGUUUUAUUUUUUAACUUUAUACUGCUUGUCAUAUUAUAAAACUAUUUAAAUUAACACGAAGUUGAAGAAUCCAUUGUUCGUAUAAGCCUAUUCAAUUUUCGGUUCGUAACAUCAAUGAUAACAAUAAAAUAUUAACUACACAAUUUAGUUAAUAAGUUAUUAUGCAGUUUACCUCGAAUACCUCUUAACUAUCUUAGUUAAUUGGUUAUCACGAUGGCGAACAGGGCGAUCAUAAUCACACUAACAAUCAUAGUUUUAAUUAAUACUGCUCAAAGUAUAAAUUUCUAUACGAAUACUAAAACUGAUUGUUUUGGGAGAAAAGCUGAUAAUUAUGUUGAGAGUCCUAAUGAUCAACAAAUUAAAGAUUCGUUGCUUAAAUUGGAUUUGGCUGCUAUUGACAAAAGCAAUUGGGUUGAUGCUGCUCAACUUGAGUCUCAACAUACUGGUGAAUCGGUUGGGACUGCUGCUGACGAUACACGGACCGCCACUACAUCUUACAUCGGUGAUUAAGGAGCAGAGUUAGCCUAGAUAAAUAGUUCUUCUUCUAGAUAAUAUGUUAAAAGAUAUAAAGAUAAUAGACCAAAAGUCUAUUUAGAUAAAGAUAAAAAUUAACUCAAUCAAAAAUAUCUAUUUAAUAUAUAAAAUAUAACCAUAAUUUACCUAGAUAAAAAGCAAAUACAUUUUAAAAAAAAUAAUGAUUUAAAACUAAAAUUUCAUUAUAUCAAAAAAACUGUAUCAGGCUUUUAAGUUAUCAUGUAAACAACAUUUUGAAUAUUUUGAAGGUAUUUUAAAUAUGUCAUUUUUUAAGUUUUGCAUCUAUAAUUUACAUUAUUAUUUUUUUUCUGUAUUGAUUUAAAAAAAAAAAACAAGUACCUAUCCACAUUUUGCCGUAAUCAAUGGAUUUUUUCAACAAAACGCCAUUAGGAUUUUAAUAUACCUAUAUGAUCAAUAAUUGGUUUAUUACAAUAAGAUUAUACUAAUAUUGGGAAAAAUUUUUAAAUUAAGAAUAAAGUGUAUAUUGUGAUUGUA